AUUGAACGCUGGCGGCAUGCCUUACACAUGCAAGUCGAACGGCAGCACGGGUGCUUGCCCCUGGUGGCGAGUGGCGAACGGGUGAGUAAUGCAUCGGAACAUGUCCUGUAGUGGGGGAUAGCCCGGCGAAAGCCGGAUUAAUACCGCAUACGAUCUACGGAUGAAAGCGGGGGACCUUCUGGCCUCGCGCUAUAGGGUUGGCCGAUGGCUGAUUAGCUAGUUGGUGGGGUAAAGGCCUACCAAGGCGACGAUCAGUAGCUGGUCUGAGAGGGCGACCAGCCACACUGGGACUGAGACACGGCCCAGACUCCUACGGGAGGCAGCAGUAGGGAAUUUUGGACAAUGGGCGAAAGCCUGAUCCAGCAAUGCCGCGUGUGUGAAGAAGGCCUUCGGGUUGUAAAGCACUUUUGUCCGGAAAGAAAUCCUUGGCCCUAAUACGGUCGGGGGAUGACGGUACCGGAAGAAUAAGCACCGGCUAACUACGUG
rnacentral:rRNA from 1 species